rnacentral:rRNA from 1 species
UACGUAGGGUCCAAGCGUUAUCCGGAAUUACUGGGCGUAAAGAGUUGCGUAGGUGGCAAUAUAAGUCGGUAGUGAAAGCGUGAGGCUCAACCUCAUAAACAUUAUUGAAACUGUAUAGCUAGAGCAUGAGAGAGGUAACUGGAAUUCCUAGUGUAGGAGUGAAAUCCGUAGAUAUUAGGAGGAACACCGAUGGCGUAGGCAGGUUACUGGCUCAUUGCUGACACUAAGGCACGAAAGCGUGGGGAGCGAACGGG